CAACGGAUAGUGCGCCUACACACGACCUCAACCGACACGACCACAAGCCGAAGAUAAACCUGACAUCUAAGCCCAUUGGUGAGACACGCCGCCCACCGACCGUCACUAGAUUGGAAUAUCUAUUGAAGACAACAAUGAGAUCCGAAGUCGUGCUGCUUACUGUGUGCCUCGUGACAUGUUGCAUUGUAGAAAGAGAUGCGUCUACUGGCCCAUGUACAGUGAUAGAAGAAAACCCAAACAACGGCAAGGUAGCAGCAUGGUGCUACAAGCUAUGUGGGUGCGACAACUGUGAAUGUCUGUCAACAGAUACAUGCUGCCUUGCUCCGACUCGCAUUAUGAGUUCAUCAAAAAUUGUUAGAUUGUGUAACGAAAUUUGUGGUUGCUGUCAAUGCAUAUGUGUCGAAGAUGUUCGCUAACGAGAAUCUUUUUUGACGUUUUCAAAUAUAACCU